rnacentral:rRNA from 1 species
UACAGAGGAUGCAAGCGUUAUCCGGAAUGAUUGGGCGUAAAGCGUGCGCAGGCGGUUCGUUGUGUCGGCGGUGAAAGCCCCGGGCUCAACCUGGGAAUGGCCGUUGAAACUGGCGAACUGGAGUGUGGCAGAGGGGGGUGGAAUUCCGCGUGUAGCAGUGAAAUGCGUAGAGAUGCGGAGGAACACCGAUGGCGAAGGCAGCCCCCUGGGCUGACACUGACGCUCAGGCACGAAAGCGUGGGGAGCAAACAGG